AGCAGCCGCGGUAAUUCCAGCUCCAAUAGCGUAUAUUAAAGUUGUUGCAGUUAAAAAGCUCGUAGUUGAAUUUCGGGAUCAAGUUGUUGGUCGUGCCUCGGUACGCACUGGUGACAUUGGUUUCUACCUUCUGAAGAACCUUGAUGUCAUUAAUUUGGUGUCUUGGGGAAUCAGGACUGUUACUUUGAAAAAAUUAGAGUGUUUAAAGCAGGCUCACGCUUGAAUACAUUAGCAUGGAAUAAUGAAAUAGGACGUUUGAUUCUAUUUUGUUGGUUUCUAGGAUCGACGUAAUGAUUAAUAGGGAUAGUUGGGGGCAUUAGUAUUCAAUUGUCAGAGGUGAAAUUCUUGGAUUUAUUGAAGACUAACUACUGCGAAAGCAUUUGCCAAGGAUGUUUUCAUUAAUCAAGAACGAAAGUUAGGGGAUCGAAGACGAUCAGAUACCGUCGUAGUCUUAACCAUAAACUAUGCCGACUAGGGAUCGGAUGAUGUUAAUUUUUAAUGACUCAUUCGGCGCCUUAAC
rnacentral:rRNA from 1 species